UUGUGUGUGACACCUGACCUGUAUAUUUAUAUAAUAGAGCACAGAAUAUAUAUAUAUAUAUAUAUAUAAAUCAAAUCCAGCUGAUCCUGCAAUGAAAACCAAGGCACACAUCAGAUUCUCAGUUGGAGAUAUUAGCUGCCUGGUGGUGCUGCAGCCAGCUGUGAUCAACAAACAAAUUAUUCAGUACUGAUGUGUUUGUAACAGUAUUUUUAAGGAAUUUGUAGUAGAUUAUGUUAGAGAUGUCAAAUACACAAAAACAUAAAUACAGUACAUGAAAGUUCAUUUGUGAUUGUGGAGAGUUUGUGAACACUUCAGCUAAUUAAUGACAGUGCGUUUCUACGAUUUGCAGUGUUCAUUAAAGACCAAUCACUUUUUUUAAGAAGAAGAAGAAGAAUCACCUUUUAUUGUCAUGAACAUGCAUGCAUGCACAUGAAAUAAGUACGGAUAGAUAUCAUUAAAUAUGGCAUCAAAAUGUGGUAGAUUGUGGGUAGACCUGUGGUCUUAUUCAAUGUGUGCCUAUUAAAUCACAUCUAUAGUCAUCUGCAGGCUUCUGUUGCACAAUUUGGGUAUGUCAUCACAACAUAUUAGAAUACAUAUAUUCUAAUUUACUGAGAUGUACCUGUCCAGUCACUGAUGUACUCAGUGGUUUUUGGAGAUAAGUCAAAUUUAUUUGAAGCAUGCAAAAACAUCUGCUAAAUCAGGGGUUGUGGUUGAGUUGCAAUUGCUCAAGAUACUGUAGGUAAACUCACAUUCUGAACUCAUUCGCUCAACUUCUUCCACUGUCUAUAUUUAGAAAAAAAAAUGCCUUGAACAAAUGGGCAGCAUGACUAUAUAAACCCACAAUUUGCUGAUCUGCUAACGCCUUUCUUUCUUUAUUACUGACAAUGCAGAGACGAUCUUUGAGGAGACGAUCUUGGAGACAUCAGCACAGGAGGACUAGAAAUGAUCACCCAAAGAGCUCCUUUGAUUUAGAUCCAGCACCCAGUUGCUCAAUGCAGCUAUUUUUCAUGUCAUCAAUAAAGGAGAGGGGAGCGAAUUAAUCCAUCAAGUUCAGCAUCUGAGAAGUCCUGCAUCCUCCAUCUUCUGUUGCUCUUUGACAAUCAACAGGCAUGUAUGGAUAUGAGGGUGGACAUUUUAUCACUGUGUCAAAUGAAGAUGCUGAACAUGGGUUAGGUGACAUUUUGGAUCCACCACUUGCCCUUGCCAUAGCAGCAUCUCCUGACGAUGAUGAAGUACACUUUAGACCGAUUACUGGUGAUGAUGAUGACCAAGACUCCACCCUUCCCUGGAAUCCAUCUGAGUUAAACAGUAUGCAGGACUCUACACCGAACACUGGGCCUGUGUCAUCAAGCAGUGCUUCAGAAUCACCAGACUCCACUAAGGAAGAAGUUAAAUGUAAAAUUAAGACGCGUAAACAUAGUUGACAACGUUCUUAU